GGAAGGACCAUUGUCG
rnacentral:rRNA from 1 species